ACCUGACUACUGCAUUAAUUAAGAUUGUAAAAUGCAGUGAGUUAACGAACUACUCUGUUAUAAUGGAACUAAACUACAACCUAUUGCAAACCAAACCAAGAACAAACGAUUAACUCAACUUAGUACAAAGUGAAUCCAGGAAAAAUGGUGUAGAGGAGAUGGAACAAACAAAAUCCUGCCAUCAGUGGCACGUGGUCCUUAUACUCUUACUAUGUACAGUUGAUGGUAUUAUGUGUGGAAAUUCAACGGAGGACACGACGGAAAAUCUGUUCACCAGCAACCAAUUCAUUGGUAUCACGGCAGGACUAGGUACCUUCCUAUUUAUAGGUAUAUACCUGUACUGUUUAUGGAAGUGUACGUGCGGCAGUCCUGAUGAUGAUAAAGACGACAAACAGAACCGGGUAGACGACAUCAGAAAUAGAUAACAGUGCACAAGAAGUUAUGGAAUUCCUUAAAUACCUCACAGGGCGAGUGAGAGGAAAAUAGAGAGAUGGGCAACAUUUUGCCGAGCCGUGAGAAAAAAAAAAAUCCGAAAUAUAUUCCUGACGUCGAUAUAGAUAAUUUGUUUGGACAAUGAUCAUUUUGUGAAUGGAACAUGUGGUCGAGCUAGGGAGGCACAAACUGUUAAUGCUGUUAAUGUUGUUGUUGAUAUUGUUGUUGUUGUUGUUGUACGAUUGCAUGCAGCGUCUUGCAGUUUCUUAAGUUUGAAGAUAUAUAUAUAAUUACAAUGCAUUUGAAAGCUACUGAUGCCACUGUUAUUUUGUCAUGUUUUUAUUAGUAUACACUCAGUUUGCAUAUGUAAUUACAGCUAAUAAUAAUGAUAGAACAUUCCUCGAGUCAUGCCUUCGUUGUUUAUUCUACAAUUUUGUCGUUAGAGUAGCAAAGCAUGAAAGUAGUGAUGUGAAAUACAGAAAAUCAGCGGGGAAAACACGCCUGUUAAAACCUAUAGAAUAUCAAUUAUCUGUGUAGUUGUUAUACUAACAUGCUGGAUUAGCGGGAUACAUAUCUGGUCAAAUAUACAGAAACGAUCAUAUAAACCAACACCGAUAUAUUUCGGAUGAAAAGGGUUUCCCGUAUUCAUACUUCAGACUUUCAAUACAUGAUAUAGUGAUAUAUUGAUUUCGAUAACAUGUUAUAUGGUAAUGUGAUGGUGACAGGUAAAUAUGGAGAGACCAUGACAAUAGUACAUAUGUAUGUAUACGCUAAAACUUUUAACAUUUCAUACUCACUUGGUUAUGAUAGGUGUUCCUCCCAAACAAUGUAUGACAUAAUAUUUGGGAAGCUAGCAAAUAGAUUUAAAAAUGUA